rnacentral:sRNA from 1 species
CACAAAGGACUUGGAAUUUGAUCAAGAGCUCGUAGCCGAGGAAGAGCUUAAAGCAGAGGAGCAGCUUGAACCUGAGGAGCAUUUUGAAACAGAAAAU